GGGCUGCCCUCGCAAACCGCCUCCUAUCAGACACGCCCUGAGAGAGACGUCACGGAGCUGUUGCCCAAUCAGCCGGGAAACGAACACCGCUCCGACACGCCUUCCAUCUUGCCUCCGCCAUGAUGUGGACCGCGGGAUUUUCGACUUUUUUUCUUUGCCCGUCUGGAAUGCUGAUGCGUUGACAUACGGACAAAAAGGGGAAGAAUAGGCGGAUGCAAACAGAUUUCCAACUGUUGGUUACUUGUUGCUCGCAGGAAUGGGCUAUUAAUACGGAUCUCAUGUGGAAGUCAGUGUGCCAGCAGACCAGUGGCUGGCGAACAAGAGGGAGUCGUUAUUAUACGGACCACUAUAGGAGUCCGCUUCUCUCCGUGGCAGCAUCACUGGUGCUCUCUGUUAACGCUUUCUAAAAGUUUACACUACAAAUGUGGUGAUGGAUCGUACUGUGACUUCAAAAGAUUGGAAGCAGUUGGCUGUAAAUGCCUCCUCACACUUGGAUAGCUGUCUCUGAAUGUUGAUAUGGCUUCGACAAGCUGAUCACAGUGACAGAGAACCGAAACUCAGAAGGAGUCGAACCGAUGCAUUGCAGAAAGGGCAUGAAAUAAGUGCACCGCAAUGGUUAUUUCCAUCUGAUUUCAAGUGCCACUCCAACAACAACAACAACAAUAAAUGAAGUGAUGAUGACAUGGGAUGUUUCCCCGUGGUAGCCACAGGACACUACCCCACUGCCACUCCAGAUUAAAUGCUGUCUCCCAAAUAUGAAGCCCUACGUACAGUAAUUUCUUAUCUUUCAUUUCUGCAAAAUAUUAUGUUAUCCUGCUAAGAGGAAGUUACGUAAACCACUGCAUACUCAAUACUUGCCAUUAAGUAAUAUGCAUAAAGCA